rnacentral:lncRNA from 1 species
UAGAGAAGCUACUUAAAAGCUUUAUAGACAUAAUUUUGACUUUGUAAAUGUUUUUAAUUGAUUGGUAGGUUAAAAACUUAGUCAAUAAGUUAAUUAUAUAUCACACGUUGUCAUAAUACAUGAAAUCUUGUAUAAGAAUGCUUUGGGCACCUGGUUGUCAAAGGUAGAAUGGAAAUUGCUACAAAAAAAUCCUAAUUUUUAUAGAAUAUUAUUAAUGCUAAACAAGCUUUAAUCAAAUUCAAAGAAACUUCAAAAGAAUUACAAAGAAAAAAUAAGAAAUCUUAAAUAAAUAUUAGAAUAAUUACAAAUAUAUCUCAAAUACAUCUCAAUUCAAUUUUAAUUUAAUCCUAAUUGAAAUCGUAUUGGACUUCAUUCAAACUUUAGGCCAAAAAUUAACUAAAUCUUAAAUCCUAAACAAACUCAAAUAAAAUCCUAAACCAAAUUUUUAAUUCUAAAUCAAAUCCUAAUCAAACUAUAAAUCCUAAAUCAAAUCCUAACCAAAUCCUAAAUCCUAAACCAAAUUCUGAACCUUGAAUUAAAUCCUAAUCCUAAAUCAAAUCCUAACCAAAUCCUAAUCCUAAAUCAAAUCCUAACCAAACCCUAAACCCUAAAUCAAAUCUUGACCAAAUCCUUACUCCUAAACCCCAAAUCAAAUCCUAAUCCUAAAUCAAAUCCUAAUCAAAUCUUAAUCCUAAAUGAAAUCCUAAUCAAAUCCUAAUCUUAAA